rnacentral:lncRNA from 1 species
UUGAGCAUCCCUGCAGGGAGGUUUGGGUCUGGGCUCACACUGAGGACCCUUCACUGUGUCUCACGCAGUAAUACAAGGCUGUGUCCUCGGGGGUCACAGAGUUCAAUCGCAGAAAAACCUGGUUCUUGGCUGUGUCUCUGGAGAUGGUGAUGCGGCUAGCAAGAGUUGGGUUGUACUUAGUGACACUAUCAUGACCUAUUUCUCCCAUCCACUCCAGCCUCUUCUGUGAGUUCUGGCGGAUCCAGUGCCACCAGUAACCACUGCUGGUGAUGGAGAAUCCAGAGAUUGAGCAGCCCACAGCUCAGACUUCUCCAGCCGAGUCUUGGCAGAGGACUGCGAGCUCCCACAGCUCAAGAGGGGAAUUUGAAC